CCUACGGGUGGCAGCAGUGGGGAAUAUUGGUCAAUGGCCGUAAGGCUGACCCAGCAAAGUCGCGUGAAGGAAGAAGGAUCUCUGGUUUGUAAACUUCUUUUAUAGGGGAAUAAAGGUUUCCACGACUGGAUAUUUGCAUGUACCCUAUGUAUGAGCAUCGGCUAACUCGGUGCCAGCAGCCGCGGUAAUACGGAGGAUGCGAGCGUUAUCCGGAUUUAUUGGGUGUAAAGGGUGUGUAGGUUGUUUUUUAAGUCAGCGGUGAAAGUUUGUGGCUCAACCAUAAAAUUGCCGUUGAAACUGGAAGACUUGAGUGUGUUUGAGGUAGGCGGAAUGCGGGGUGUAGCGGUGAAAUGCAUAGAUAUCACGCAGAACUCCGAUUGCGAAGGCAGCUUACUAAGCAAUAACUGACGCUGAAGCACGAAAGCGUGGGGAUCAAACAGGAUUAGAUACCCGUGUAGUC
rnacentral:rRNA from 1 species